rnacentral:rRNA from 1 species
UAUACGACCGUACCGCAAACCGACACUGGUGCGCGAGAUGAGUAUUCUAAGGCGCUUGAGAGAACUCAGGAGAAGGAACUCGGCAAAUUGACACCGUAACUUCGGAAGAAGGUGUGCCCUAUUAGUGUGUAGUGAACAACGAAGCAUGAAUGGGUUGCAAAAAAUCGGUGGCUGCGACUGUUUAUUAAAAACACAGCACUCUGCAAACACGAAAGUGGACGUAUAGGGUGUGACGCCUGCCCGGUGCUGGAAGAUUAAAUGAUGGGGUGCAAGCUCUUGAUUGAAGUCCCAGUAAACGGCGGCCGUAACAAUAACGGUCCUAAGGUAGCGAAAUUCCUUGUCGGGUAAGUUCCGACCUGCACGAAUGGCGUAACGAUGGCCACACUGUCUCCUCCUGAGACUCAGCGAAGUUGAAAUGUUUGUGAUGAUGCAAUCUCCCCGCGGAAAGACGGAAAGACCCCAUGAACCUUUACUGUAGCUUUGUAUUGGACUUUGAACAGAUCUGUGUAGGAUAGGUGGGAGGCUUUGAAGCAGGGUCGCUAGAUCUUGUGGAGCCAACGUUGAAAUACCACCCUGGUGUGUUUGAGGUUCUAACCUAGGUCCAUUAUCUGGAUCGGGGACAGUGCAUGGUAGGCAGUUUGACUGGGGCGGUCUCCUCCCAAAGCGUAACGGAGGAGUUCGAAGGUACGCUAGUUACGGUCGGACAUCGUGACGAUAGUGCAAUGGCAUAAGCGUGCUUAACUGCGAGACUGACAAGUCGAGCAGAUGCGAAAGCAGGACAUAGUGAUCCGGUGGUUCUGUAUGGAAGGGCCAUCGCUCAACGGAUAAAAGGUACUCUGGGGAUAACAGGCUGAUACCGCCCAAGAGUUCAUAUCGACGGCGGUGUUUGGCACCUCGAUGUCGGCUCAUCUCAUCCUGGGGCUGUAGCCGGUCCCAAGGGUAUGGCUGUUCGCCAUUUAAAGAGGUACGUGAGCUGGGUUUAAAACGUCGUGAGACAGUUUGGUCCCUAUCUUCCGUGGGCGCUGCAGAUUUGAGGAAGCCUGCUCCUAGUACGAGAGGACCGGAGUGGACACACCUCUGGUGUAUCGGUUGUCACGCCAGUGGCAUUGCCGAGUAGCUAAGUGUGGAAGAGAUAACCGCUGAAAGCAUCUAAGCGGGAAACUCGUUUCAAGAUGAGAUCUGCCGGGGCCUUGAGCCCCCUAAAGAGUCGUUCAAGACCAGGACGUUGAUAGGUCAGGUGUGGAAGCCAA